CCUACGGGAGGCAGCAGUGGGGAAUUUUGGACAAUGGGCGCAAGCCUGAUCCAGCAAUGCCGCGUGCAGGAUGAAGGCCUUCGGGUUGUAAACUGCUUUUGUACGGAACGAAACGGCCCUUUCUAAUACAAGGGGCUAAUGACGGUACCGUAAGAAUAAGCACCGGCUAACUACGUGCCAGCAGCCGCGGUAAUACGUAGGGUACGAGCGUUAAUCGGAAUUACUGGGCGUAAAGCGUGCGCAGGCGGUUAUAUAAGACAGAUGUGAAAUCCCCGGGCUCAACCUGGGACCUGCAUUUGUGACUGUAUAGCUAGAGUACGGUAGAGGGGGAUGGAAUUCCGCGUGUAGCAGUGAAAUGCGUAGAUAUGCGGAGGAACACCGAUGGCGAAGGCAAUCCCCUGGACCUGUACUGACGCUCAUGCACGAAAGCGUGGGGAGCAAACAGGAUUAGAUACCCUGGUAGUCCACGCCCUAAACGAUGUCAACUGGUUGUUGGGUCUUCACUGACUCAGUAACGAAGCUAACGCGUGAAGUUGACCGCCUGGGGAGUACGGCCGCAAGGUUGAAACUCAAAUGAAUUGACGGNUGAGAGNGCGAGACGACGACGAGGGAGGAGG
rnacentral:rRNA from 1 species